rnacentral:lncRNA from 1 species
UCCUUAGCAGGGGUGUUUUCUUAGUAGGAACUGUUUUGGCAGGGAGAGCUUCUAAGACUUGUAGAACUUCAAAGGAAGAGGUAAAGAUGAAUGAGCCUUGGCACAACUCAGGAAGACACUGUGGCUAAGGGAUGUUUUGAAGGAUGAGAAGACUUUCGACAGGCAGACAGUGGGAAGAAAGAAGAUCAUGGAAGUAGAAAUGAUCGGCUUUGCAUGACGCCCAGGGCUGCAGUACACAAGCUGGACACCCAUAUCCACUGGCUCUGGAAACGAUCCCGACUUGCUCACGUCAAUGAACAGAAGGUAAAUAAGUCAGCAGGGAUGUGCGGAGUGAGACGCCCAUGGCCCUUUAAACCUGUGGUUCUGGCCUUCAACUGCGAGCUGAAGAUCAUGUGGCAAUGAAGGUGAUUAAACACCGUGGUGGUAGACCCCUGGCUGACUCACAAAAAUCCUUUAAGCCAGCAAUACUUCUUAUGAUUAAUGCACUAAUAGAAAAAGAUUCACAAAAAGAUGCAAGAGGGAAAUAGCUUCUGUGACAAAACCUUUCCUCUUGGGGCAAUCACAAGUGAUCCUUUCACCAAAGCAGCUGCAGAGGUUACAGGCACAGUCAGGUGAGGCCUGGCUAAUGCAUUCAUCCAUGCAUUCAGCCUUGUCUCAGGGCUCCUCCUUACAGAACUGUGGACCUGGCUGUAAGAGCCUAGAAGGUUGAAAGUUCCUCAGUGUGGAACGUCCUUAGCAUGGUUCUGAGUGGUCACUGAGAAGACCUCAACCUCUAACAUGCUCAACACCAGCCUGAGAGUAAUGAGGAAGGGCUGAGGGUCAGUGGGUUUAGCAGAAGCUUUCCUGCCACUGCUGCUUCCCUGGUGGCUCAGGCGGUAAAGCGUCUAUCUACAAUGCAAGGAGACCUGGGUUCGAUCCCUGGGUCGGGAAGAUCUCCUGGAGAAGGAAAUGGCAAUCUACUCCAGUACUAUUCCCUGGAAAAUCCCAUGGACAGAGGAGUCUGGUAGGCUACAGUCCAUGGGGUCACAAAGAGUCGGACACGACUGAGCACACUUUCUUUCUUUUACUGCCACCCAGAGCAGCUGGCACUGUUCUUCAGAAGUCUGUUUCUCUCAUAGUCGCUUGGACUCCUAUUUAGAAGCAACUCCCCCAACUGCACCCCCAGGGACCAUGAAAACUUCACACCAGGCAUUAGAGCAGCCCCAUAAGGAAACAUGUGGCUCAGGCACAAGACAACUUAUUAAAACCACUCCACCCUGAUGCAAACACACCUACCCAUUAUAGAGAUGUGAUGCAAGAGCACAGGCUAAGCAAAGCCAAUAAGGACACAGAGGGAGGACAGGAGGGAGAAGGUGAGAUGCACAGAGAGAGUAACAUAGAAAUUUACAAUACCAUAUGUAAA